UACGGAGAGGGCUAGCGUUAUUCGGAAUUAUUGGGUGUAAAGGGUGCGUAGGCUGAUUAGUAAGUUAAAAGUGAAAUCCCAGGGCUUAACUUUGGAAUUGCUUUUAAAACUACUAGUCUAGAGAUUGAAAGAGGAUAGAGGAAUUCCUAGUGUAGAGGUGAAAUUCGUAAAUAUUAGGAGGAACACCAGAGGCGAAGGCGUCUAUCUGGUUCAAAUCUGACGCUGAGGCACGAAGGCGUGGGGAGCAAACAGG
rnacentral:rRNA from 1 species